rnacentral:rRNA from 1 species
UACGUAGGGUGCGAGCGUUAAUCGGAAUUACUGGGCGUAAAGCGUGCGCAGGCGGCUUUGCAAGACAGAUGUGAAAUCCCCGGGCUCAACCUGGGAACUGCAUUUGUGACUGCAAGGCUAGAGUACGGCAGAGGGGGAUGGAAUUCCGCGUGUAGCAGUGAAAUGCGUAGAUAUGCGGAGGAACACCAAUGGCGAAGGCAAUCCCCUGGGCCUGUACUGACGCUCAUGCACGAAAGCGU